GUCAAGUCCCUGGGAAAGGCAGGGCAGAAGAUGCGUCGCGUUUAGCGCUUGCAAAGACGUGGCUGCCUUGACAAUGGGAGGCAGGAGGGCGAGAGGCAGCGCACGCCGACCCACAACAACAACAACAACAGCAGCGACAAAACCGGGCUGCCAAUAGUCGCAGGGUGUGCGGCAUACAUGUGCACUGAGGGUUAGCUCCCCUCCAUGCAGUGCGUUACCCGCUCCGCGGCGGUUCAGCGACCUGUUUGCUUUCCCUCCGUUAAUUCGUAGGCUCCCCUUUCUAGUCAUUUCUUUCUGCAAGGUAAAUGUUUAACGAGCCCAAUUGCUGUCCGCAAUGGCCCCAUUCUGGCUCAUCAAUCACGCCUGUCUCCUUCAACCUAUUGUUUUACUUGAGCUCUAGCAGCGACGCCAUGAACGUCGGUGACCCUGUAACGACCACCCGUCAGAUCGGGGCGGGACAUUUUUGCCUUUCUGUUCCGCUACCUUUCAUACUCCUUUCCCGCGUCCGCCGGGGUAUAAAUGUCCCGCUCCUGAGACUGUUCUAUGCACGGGCCGCAGCCCAGGAAAGUUUGUGUCAGGAAUGUUUUGGUCGGCUCGAAUCCAGUUUUUGAUAUGGGGAAAUGAACAUGAUGAUGGCCUGCCUAGCCCAAGGCCACCAAGGACAACCUUUAAUUCAGGAGAACUCCAGCAGGCCACAAAUAACACUUAACACCUUCUAACAGACUGCCUUCAGCAUAUCCAAUGUAUUAAAUAAAGAAGCCAAAAUAGUUACUGCUGAAAUGCUUGAGAAAGCCCAGUUGCCAAGUCAAUUAUUCUUCUUACACAGCUUGGUGAUCUGUACCGGAUGGGAGAUUAAUCCAUUCCAAAUGAACUUCUAACCAGAGAACAUGCAGAUGUUCAGAAGCCAUGCCGUCAGACAACACUCAGGUUUUCACAGAUGUUUGUAAGUAAAAGAGGCCUACGGGUGAAAAUGAGCAAGCUGGGAAGUAUCAGCGUGUGACAGGCUACAUUAAAAAGGUCAGAAUGGAACAGAAAGCCAGAAACAAAUGAACAGAGAUCCCAAAGAAAAGCCCAGCCUUCUAGCUAUUGCAGAUGACAGUUCUAGUUCCAACUCAGACUGCCACAGGAACAAAGAAGUUAAAGCUCUGUUCCACUCUACUAUGGUUCCGAUCUUGAUCAUCCACACACGCACCGCCACCUAUACUGACUAUUGCUUAAAGGAAGAAAACAACAACAACCCUAGAACAGACACAUUACAAUCAUCAGCACAUUUAGGUUGGCCUUUACUGAUAACUUCUCCUGGCUGGCAAUUUAUUCUUUUCUAAUUGCUUUGUUCCUAAUUCUUGGGCCAGAAUCUUGCUUGGGGAAUACCAUAUAUGCAAUGAGAAUUGCACAAGUAAUUUCUCUCCUUUGGUAAGCUUUUCUUUCGAAGACUAAUUUUGCAACCAUUGUGACUGAUCAGCCUGCCUGCCGAAGAAAGGAACUGCUCACACAACUACUGUUGCAUGCACAAUUUUUCCAACGGGAUUCUGGCAUUGGGCUCAAAUAUAUUCAGUCCUACCUACACAGACUCACUGAAAACAGUGGGACCUUAGUUGUGGCUAAUAAAUCCCAACUUUUCAUUAGGUCUUCUUUCUAUAGGAGUCAUAUAGGAUUCAGUCCAUUGUCUUUCUAGGAAGCUUUGAUCAUACAAUUUCCCUGCUUCAUUCAUUGAAUUUUACAUGGGGUCCAGAUCACAUUGUCUUUCACAUGUCUUACAAUUUUUUCUGUCCUUAUUUUCCCUAUCACAAAAGCCAAUUAAGCAACAGGAAGCAGAAUAGUUACGGGUAUCUCUGAACUGCUGACAUGAAAAAUUCAUGAAAGAUGUAAUCUCUUGUUAAAUGGGAGCCACAGGACAGAAGGAGGAAGUAUUUAAUUAUGGAAAAUCUCUCCCUGGCAUUAAUGUCUUUGGAUAGCAGUGACUGAGGUCAUUAAAGACUUCCUACUUUCCUCCCAGGGCACUAGUGCCUUCCACAUGUAGAAAGAGAUUAUAUGAGACAGAGGUUUUUUUAUUUCCCUACCUAUUAUGUCAUUACCCUUCCAUAGGUGUAAAUUAUACAACAAGGUUUCGGCCAAAUCCAGCAGAAU